rnacentral:rRNA from 1 species
AUUAAUAAUUAAUAUAUUUAAUAAAAAUAAUUUUAAUUUAAUAAAUAUUUUAAUGGGGGUUAAAGUAUUUUUUAAAGCAAAAAUUUUUAAAUUUAUAGUUAAUUAGUAUUGUGAAAGAAUUUUGAAAUAUUAUGAAAAAUAAAAUUUUUAGAAAGUAAUUUUUAUUUAUUGUAUCUUGUGUAUCAGAGUUUAUUAAAAAUUUUUAAUUUAUAAAUUAAUUUCUCGAAUUUAAAAGAGUUAAAUAAUUAUUAAAGUUAUUGUAGCAAAAUUAUUUUAAAUAAUUAUUUAGAAAUGAAAUGUUAAUCGUUUUUAAAUAUAUCUAGUUUUUAUAGAAAAAAAUUUAAUUUUAAAUUUAAAAAUUAUUUAAUUAAUUUAUUAAUUAAAUAAUUAUUUUAAUUUUAUAAUUUAAGGGAUAAGCUUUAAAUUAAAAUUUUAUAAUAUUAAAUUUUUAUUUUGAAAAUUUUAUAAUUUAUAUUGUUAAUAAAUUUUAUUUUGUUAUAAAUAAUUUCAUUUUUUUAAAAUUUAAAUUUUAUUUAAUUUUUUAUAUAAAAUUUAUUUAUAAUUAUAUAAAGUUAAUUAUAAUGAUAAAAUUAGUAUAUUAUUUAAUAUUAAAUUAAAAUUAAUUUUUGAUUAAUAAUUAAAUUAAUUAAAAGGAAUUCGGCAAAUAUUUAUUUUCACUUGUUUAUCAAAAACAUGUCUUUUUGUUAUUUAAUUUAAAGUCUAAUCUGCCCACUGAUUUAUAAAAAUUGAAGGGCUGCAGUAUAUUGACUGUACAAAGGUAGCAUAAUCAUUAGUCUCUUAAUUGGUGACUUGUAUGAAAGAUUGGAUGAAAAAUAUACUGUCUCUUAAUUAAUAUAUAGAAUUUAAUUUUUUAUUUAAAAAGUUAAAAUAAUUUAAAAAGACGAGAAGACCCUAUAGAGUUUAAUAAAUUAUUUUAUGAAAGUUUUAUUUAUAAUUACUAAUAAUUUUAUAAAUUUAUUUAUUUUGUUGGGGUGAUAAAAAAAUAAAUUUAACUUUUUUUAAGUAAUUUACAUGAAUAAGUGAUUAAU